UUUUCUGAUUGAGGGGGAGAGAGAGGGAGGAAGAUGAGGAGCAGAGAGCGAGAGAGAGGAAGAUGAGGAGUAGAGAGAGAGAGGCAUUUUGUACCUUGAUAAAUGUUUUUUAAAAGCCGCAGAUCGUCCAAGGGGGGAGGGCUGCAGAAAGCAUUAGAACAUGACAGGGCUGCCCGACUGCAAGGAGAGAGGCUGGCUGAGGUGGUUAGUAAAAAGGCUAAAUUGCAAGUGCUGUCCUUUGAAGAAAGGAGAGAGAGAGAAGGAGAGAGAGAAGGAGAGAGAGAGAGAGGGAGAGGGAGAGAAGAUGAGAGAUACUGGAACUGACCACUUCCUGUCUAUCUGGAGUGAUGUUUGACAUCAUGGAGUAUCAGAGGGUUUUCCCAGGGUCUCCGGACCACCUCGCUGGUGCACCUGCAUGAAUUGCAGGGAGACUCCUGCACCUAACAUAACCUCUCCAUUUCACCACUGGAAUAUUCCAUUUAUUUAUUACCAAGGAUGUUUACAUAAAAAGGCUAACACUUUCUACGACUUCACUGUAUAUUAAUUCUUAAUUUUGGAUCCCAAUUAGGAAAAAUACUCAAUUUGGUGACAUCUUUGAAAAAAAAUGUUGUGUGUACAUUUUUCCUUGGUCUGGGUGACAUCACUUCAGAAUUUUCCCUUUUCCCUUAUUUUGAGGAAGUUUACAGAGACCACCUUGUAUUCUUAUUUGUCUCCCUAAUAAAACUCUGACAUGCUCUGUGUAAAA